rnacentral:lncRNA from 10 species
GGUCUGCAGACUCUGCCCUUGAGGUGGCGAAGAGAGGCCAGAGGUGAACGUGAGAAUGAGAACUGGCAGAACUCAACGUGGAAACGUUGCUGGAGCGAAGAUGGCACCGGCCUCCAUCAUCAACUGCAGGAUUGAAUCACAUGGCACAGCUCCCCAAGAAGCAUUUACAGAAGAAACGAGCCAUAGCAUCACCUCGACUGAACGGUUCUGGCCAGGAUUUCUGUGCAUGUGUUUUAAGAAUUUUAAAAAUUGAGAAAUAAUUCACAUACCAUAAAAUUCACUCUUUAAAAGUGUACAAUUCAGUGGUUUUUAGUGCAUUUCCAAGUUUGUGCAACCAACAUCACUGUCUGAUUCCAGGACAUUUUCAACACCCCCAAAAAGAAACCACUUGCCAGGUUUUUGAAAGGGGCAAAUCUGUGCCAGAGUUGCUGUUGGAGAAAUAGUCUCUGUGAUAAAGAAACUUAAAAUUUCCGCUUCAGAUCUGAACGGUAAAGCUCAUUUCCAGGGAUUUUCUUCCUCUCCCCUCCCCAGCCACUCCAGGCUCAAUCUAGACUUUUAGUUUCUACUGACCUCGAAGAAUUGCCCCACAGAGGCGUUGUCCUGUGUUCCAACACUGUUUUGUGUUUCUGACAUGUGUGUGUAUUUUCUCGUCCUCCUGUUAGUGAAUACUUGUUAUCUCGCAGUUAACUUGUUCUCUUAUCAACCUUUUCUUUCCUCACUGUCUCUAAUCCCCGCAAGCUCCACCUCCCGGGUUCAAGUGCCUCAGCCUCCCAAGUAGCUGGGACUACAGGCGCACACCACCAUGCCCAGCUAAUUUUUUGUAUUUUAGUAGAGAUGGGGUUUCACCAUGUUGGCCAGGAUGGUCUCGAUCUCCUGACCUCAUGAUCCGCUCCUCUCAGCCUCCCAAAGUGCUGAGAUUAUAGGCAUGAGCCACCGUGUCCGGCCAAGGGCAGGAAUUCUUAAUCACUUCUCUCAGAUGACUUCCCACAGCUGGCUUCCUGCAUUUCUCCUUGCUAGGAAUUUUAUAGGAAUGAGGAGUUUAAUGGGUGCAGAGUUUUAGUUGGGGAAGAAGAAAAAGUCCCGGAGAUUAAUGGUGGUGAUGGUUGCAUCGCAAUGUAAAUGAAUGUACUUCAUGCCACAGAACGGUACACUUAAAAAUGGUUAAAAGGGUAAAUUUUAUGUUGUGUAUAUUUUAGAGCAAUAACAAAACAAUAAUUUUACAGGCUGUGGUUAUGAUCCUGCAAGCUGUGAGACUUAGCAAAAAGUGAGUUUCUUCUUCUGUGAAACAGGAAGAACCAUUCAUUCAACAAAUACUUCUCAAGCAUCCCUUAUAAGAAGACAAGAUGGUAUUAUGGUUAAAAACUCAAACUCUAGAGGCUGGUGGCCUGGAUUUGAAUCUUGAUUCUGUGGCUCUCUCACUGUUGGGAAAUGGGCAAGCCAAACUUUUCUCUGUGCCUUAGUUUUCUCAUCUGGAAAAUGGAGAUAGUAGUUCCUCUGUCAUUAGGAUUGUUGUGAGAAAUAAUUGAGUUAAUAUAUUCAAAUAGAACAGGGUCUGGCACAAGAUAAAUGCUACCUGUUAUCAUUAUUAUUAUUACUAUUUGCUUGAGUUAAUGUAUAAAAUAUGUAAACAGUAUGCAGCAUAAAAUAAGUGCUACCUAUAAUUAUUAUUGCUAUUUUGUGCCAGGCACCAUUCUAGAAGGUGGAGAUACAGCAAUGAACCCUUGACUUCCUGGAGCUUACCAUUUAGAGGGGAAAAUAGACAAUAAAUAAGGAAAUGUAUAGUAUGGCAGGUAGUAGUUAAUAUCUGCCUCAUAGUAUUUUUUGUUUUUUUGUUUUUUUGUUUUUUUGUUUUUUGAGAUGGAGUUUCGCUCUUGUUGCCCAAGCUGGAGUGCAAUGGCGCGAUCUCAGCUCACCGCAACCUCCGCCUCCCAGGUUCAAGCAAUUCUCCGGCCUCAGCCUCCCGAGUAGCUGGGAUUACAGGCAUGUACCACCACGCCCGGCUAAUUUUGUAUUUUUAGUAGAGACGGGGUUCCUCCAUGUUGAGGCUGGUCUCGAACUCCUGACCUCAGGUGAUCCACCCCCCUCGGCCUCCCAAAGUGCUGGGAUUACAGGUGUGAAGUGAGCCACUGCGCCCGGCCUGCCUCAUAGUAUUAUAAUGAAAAUUACACAAAGUAAUAUAUGGAAAGUGGCCGAUAUAGUCAGAACCUGUCUGAAAAUGGGCACUUAAUAAAUAAAUGUUAACUCUCCUUUUCUCUCUGCUCCCCCUUCACUCCCCUCCCUUCCCUUCCCCUCCUCUCCUCUCUCCUCUCCUUUACCUAUUCUCUCUUUGGAGAGAAACCAGUCAGAAGACAAGCGGCCAGGGGUGCCCAUACACAUCAGCAGAGGAGGCUGGAGGAACAGUUCAGGCCAGGGCCUCCAAAAGCUGGCUGCAAUUUCUGCGGCAGGAAAUCCGCUUGAACAUUAAUUUAAAAGUGAAGGAAGAAGAAGCCUCCAUGACAGAGGAGCAAUCCAAGCCUCUCCAGCAUGGCAGAUUUGGCCCAGGAUAAAGAAGAAUGGUGUCAUGAUCAGGACACAGUCAGGAAGGGCUGGGGGAGCUCCGGAACAAAUGCAGCAAAAUGCCGACAUCUGUUUUAUCUCAACAGUGGACUGUGCUUCUUUGGAGGUGAACUUGUGCUGAUACUUGAUGGGUCACGCAGACUUACAGUGAGAAACAGCUUCAGGAAAGUCAGAAGAGAAAUCCGAGCAAUAAUUAAAAACACACGGUAUUAGUCUGUUCCCAACGCUGCUAAUAAAGACAUACCUGAGACUGGGUAAUUUAUAAAGAAAAGAGGUUUAACGGACUCACAGUUCCACGUGGCUGGGGAGGCCUCACAGUCAUGGCAGAAGACCAAGGAAGAGCAAAGGGAUGUCUUACAUGGUGGCAGGCAAAAGAACAUGUGCAGAGGAACUGCCCUUUAUAGAACUAUCAGAUCUCGUAGGACUUAUUCACUAUCUUGAGAACAGCAUGGGAAAUACUCGCCUCUAUGAUUCAAUUACCUUGCAUUCCUGACCCAUGUAAAUCCCUAGUCUACAUUGCCCUGCAUAAUGGUCUUGUAGCAUUUUCUAGUUAUUACUGCUAUUUGUGAACACAUCUAUUCUCCUUAACUAUUAAUAGUAUAAACAAUUUGAGGGUAGGGCAUACUAUAUUUUAUUUUUUAACCCUUAGGACCACAAUGCUAUAGUUUGAAUGUUUGUGUCCCCCCCAGAUUCAUGCAUUGAAAUGCUAAUCUCCAAGGUAUUGGGAGAUGAGGCCUUUGGGAGGUGAUUAGGUCACAAGGGUGAAACCCUCGUGAAUGGUAUUAGUGCCCUUAUAAAAGAGGCCCCAGGGAGAUACCUCACCCCUUUCACCUUGUGAGGACACAGAUAGAAGACCCCAUCUAUGAAGCAGGAAGUGGGCCCUCAUCAGACACUGAAUCUGCCGACAUCUUGAUCUUAGACUUUCUGGCCUCUAGAAUUAUAAGAAAUAGAUUCUGAUGUUUACAAACACUCAGUUUAUGGUAUUUUGUUAUAACAGCCCCAACAAAGAGAAGCCCUCAGGGUCUCCUACUUUCUUUCUUUUUUUUUUUUUUAACCUUUAUUUUAGGUUCAAGGGUACAUGUGUCGGUUUGUUUUAUAGGUAAACUCAUGUCACAGGGGUUUGUUAUAUCAAUUAUUUCGUCACCCAGGUACUAAGCCUAGUACCCAAUAGUUACUUUCCCUGAUCCUCCCCCUUCUCCCGCCCUCCACCCUCAAAAAGAUCCCAGUGUCUGUUGUCCCCUUCCUUGUGUCCAUGUGUUCUCAUCAUUUAGCUCCCACUUAUAAGUCAGAACACGCAGUAUUUGGUUUUUUGUUCCUGUGCUAGUUUGCUAAGAAAAAUUGACUCCAAUUCCAUCCACAUUCCCACAAAAGAUAGGAUCUCAUUCUUUUUAUGGCUGCAUCGUAUUUCCUGGUGUAUAUGUACCACAUUUGCUUUAACCAGUCUGUAGUUGAUGGACAUUUAGGUUGAUGCCAUGUCUUUUCUAUUGUGAAUAGUGCUGCAAUAAACAUUUG